GCUGGGAUGUGAUGGGGAGCGAAAUUUAGUAGCGAAGUAGCUGAUUUCACACUGUCAAGAAAAGUCUCUAUCGAGGUUAAAGGUACCCGUACCGCAAACCGACACAGGUGGGUGAGGAGAGUAUCCUAAGGCCAGCGAGAGAACUGUUGUUAAGGAACUCGGCAAAAUGACCCCGUAACUUAGGGAUAAGGGGUGCCACCAUCCGGUGGCCGCAGAGAAUAGGCCCAAGCGACUGUUUACCAAAAACAUAGGUUUCUGCUAAGUCGCAAGACGAUGUAUAGGAGCUGACGCCUGCCCGGUGCUGGAAGGUUAAGGGGAUCUGUUAGAGCAAUCGAAGCAGUGAACUUAAGCCCCAGUAAACGGCGGCCGUAACUAUAACGGUCCUAAGGUAGCGAAAUUCCUUGUCGGGUAAGUUCCGACCCGCACGAAAGGCGUAACGAUUUGGGCACUGUCUCAACAACAGACUCGGUGAAAUUGUAAUUCCGGUGAAGAUGCCGGAUACCUGCGACAGGACGGAAAGACCCCAUGGAGCUUUACUGUAGCUUGACAUUGGGUCUUGGUACUACAUGUACAGGAUAGGUGGGAGGCUUUGAAACCAGGACGCCAGUUUUGGCGGAGCCAUCCUUGGGAUACCACCCUUGUAGUACUGGGACUCUAACCAUAGGCCAUGAAUCUGGUCUUGGGACACUGUCAGGUGGGCAGUUUGACUGGGGCGGUCGCCUCCCAAAAGGUAACGGAGGCGCUCAAAGGUUCUCUCAGUACGGUCGGAAAUCGUACGUAGAGUGUAAAGGCAAAAGAGAGCUUGAUUGCAAGACAUACAGGUCGAGCAAGGAUGAAAAUCGGACUUAGUGAUCCGGUGGUUCUGCGUGGAAGGGCCAUCGCUCAACGGAUAAAAGCUACCCUGGGGAUAACAGGCUUAUCUCCCCCAAGAGUCCACAUCGACGGGGAGGUUUGGCACCUCGAUGUCGGCUCAUCACAUCCUGGGGCUGUAGUAGGUCCCAAGGGUUGGGCUGUUCGCCCAUUAAAGUGGUACGCGAGCUGGGUUCAGAACGUCGUGAGACAGUUCGGUCCCUAUCCGUCGCAGGCGUAGGAAAUUUGAGAAGACCUGUCCUUAGUACGAGAGGACCGGGAUGGACGUACCUCUGGUGUACCAGUUGUUCUGCCAAGGGCAUGGCUGGGUAGCUAUGUACGGAAUGGAUAAGCGCUGAAAGCAUCUAAGCGCGAAGCCAACUUCAAGAUAAGAUUUCCCACCGCAAGGGUAAGACCCCAGAAAGACUAUCUGGUUGAUAGGUCGAAGGUGUAAGUGCAGCAAUGUAUUUAGCUUAUCGAUACUAAUAG
rnacentral:rRNA from 1 species